rnacentral:tRNA from 1 species
CCUAAUAUGGCAGAUUAGUGCAAUGAAUUUAAGCUUCAUAUAUAAAGUUCCUCUUUUAUUAGGA